rnacentral:rRNA from 1 species
AUUGAACGCUGGCGGCAGGCCUAACACAUGCAAGUCGAACGAGUGGCGGACGGGUGAGUAAUGUCUGGGAAACUGCCUGAUGGAGGGGGAUAACUACUGGCAACGGUAGCUAAUACCGCCUACCAUCAGCUGUGCCCAGAUGGGAUUAGCUUGUUGGGUGGGUAACGGCUCACCAGGGCGGCGAUCCCUAGCUGGUCUGAGAGGAUGACCAGCCAUCCUGGAAGUGAGACACGGUCCAUACUCCUACGGGAGGCAGCAGUGGGUAAUAUUGCACAAUGGGCGCAAGCCUGAUGCAGCCAUGCCGCGUGUAUGAAGAAGGCCUUCGGGUUGUAAAGUACUUUCAGCGGGGAGGCGUUACCCGCAGAAGAAGCACCGGCUAACUCCGUGCCAGCCGCCGCGGUAAGUC